UAUCAAUCUUCGUCGAACAUGUUACAGAUAUGGAUCAGAGUAACAACAAUCCUUCAUUUUAAAGCUGAUUGAGAAAUACCUAAUGACUUUGCUUCAAUGAUGUGGGGAGAGCAACCACCUUAAAAAUAAUCUGUUAAGAUUGUUGAUGGCAACAAGUUAUGGUUUGUAAGACGGAAAAAAACUGAUUUGGGCCCUGUACUU